rnacentral:rRNA from 1 species
CAGAGGUCUCAAGCGUUGUUCGGAUUCAUUGGGCGUAAAGGGUGUGUAGGUGGCGCGCUAAGUCGGGUGUGAAAUUUCGGAGCUUAACUCCGAAACUGCAUUCGAUACUGGCGUGCUUGAGGACUGGAGAGGAGACUGGAAUUUACGGUGUAGCAGUGAAGUGCGUAGAUAUCGUAAGGAAGACCAGUGGCGAAGGCGGGUCUCUGGACAGUUCCUGACACUGAGACACGAAGGCCAGGGGAGCAAACGGGAUUAGAUACCCCGGUAGUCCUGGCAGUAAACGGUGCACGUUUGGUGUGGGAGGAUUCGACCCCUUCUGCGCCGGAGCUAACGCGUUAAACGUGCCGCCUGGGGAGUACGGUCGCAAGAUUA